UGGUGGCAAUAGCGAGAAGGUCACACCUGUACCCAUACCGAACACAGAAGUUAAGCUCUCAGCGCUGAAAAUACUUGGCGGGUGACUGCCCGGGAACAUAAGACGCUGCC
rnacentral:rRNA from 1 species